rnacentral:rRNA from 1 species
UUUGGACGAUGGGCGCAAGCCUGAUCCAGCAAUGCCGCGUGCAGGAUGAAGGCCUUCGGGUUGUAAACUGCUUUUGUACGGAACGAAAAAGCUCUCUCUAAUACAGGGGGUGAAUGACGGUACCGUAAGAAUAAGCACCGGCUAACUACGUGCCAGCAGCCGCGGUAAUACGUAGGGUGCAAGCGUUAAUCGGAAUUACUGGGCGUAAAGCGUGCGCAGGCGGUUUUGUAAGACAGAGGUGAAAUCCCCGGGCUCAACCUGGGAACUGCCUUUGUGACUGCAAAGCUGGAGUGCGGCAGAGGGAGAUGGAACUCCGCGUGUUGCAGUGAAAUGCGUAGUUAUGCGGAGGAACACCGAUGGCGAAGGCAAUCCCCUGGGCCUGCACUGACGCUCAUGCACGAAAGCGUGGGGAGCAAACA